rnacentral:rRNA from 1 species
AUGGCGACUCUCCUCCGCCGAUCCGCCGCCCCCGCGCGGCAGCUUCUCCUCCUUCCCCGCCAGCUCGGCGCCGCCCGCUCCAUGUCCCGCUACUACGCCCGUGACGAGGUUUCACGGUUCGACGCGCUGAGCACGCCGGUGAACUGGGGCGUGAGCAUCGUGCCGGAGAAGAAGGCCUUCGUGAUUGAGCGUUUCGGCAAGUACCUCAAGACGCUCGACUCCGGGAUCCACGGGCUCGUCCCCCUCGUCGACCGCAUCGCCUACGUGCACUCUCUCAAGGAGGAAGCCAUCCCCAUCCCCGACCAGUCCGCUAUUACCAAGGAUAACGUGGUCAUCCAGAUCGACGGCGUCCUCUACGUCAAGAUUGUUGAUCCUUACCGUGCUUCAUAUGGCGUGGAGAAUCCCAUUUUUGCAGUCAUUCAACUUGCGCAGACAACUAUGAGAAGUGAGCUUGGAAAGAUAACCUUGGACAAGACUUUUGAAGAGAGAGACACAUUGAAUGAGAAGAUUGUGAGGUCCAUAAAUGAGGCUUCGACAGACUGGGGCUUGAAGUGUCUUCGUUACGAGAUCAGGGACAUUUCUCCUCCACCGGGCGUGAAGAAUGCUAUGGAGAUGCAAGCAGAGGCAGAAAGGAGAAAGCGUGCUCAAAUUCUCCAGUCAGAAGGGGCUAUGUUGGAUCAGGCAAACCGCGCAAAAGGUGAGGCUGAAGCGAUUCUUUCCAAGUCACAAGCUACCGCCGAAGGGAUUAGAAUGGUCUCAGAGUCCAUGAGAGCUGAAGGCAGUGCUGAGGCUGCAAAACUGAGAAUCGCUGAACAGUACAUCACAGCAUUUGCUGCUCUGGCCAAGAAUACCACGACAAUGCUUCUUCCAAGCGACGCUGGCAACCCAUCAUCUAUGAUAGCCCAGUCUCUCCAGAUAUACAAGCACAUAAGCCAGUCCAGCAGCCCGAAAGGAGGGAACCAACAGGCAGAAGAAGUUGAGGAAGCAGGACCGCAAGAAGAGGCCGAUACGUUCGGCCUGCCUUCUGUGACGAGCGCGAUGCCACCCAGCACGCAAACAGGCCAUGGCAGCACGUUCUCCCUGCAGAAGCGUAAAGAAUGA